rnacentral:lncRNA from 1 species
CUCAGCCUCCCAAAGUGCUGGGAUUACAGGUGUGAACCAUUGUGCCCGGCCUCAUUUUUACAUUUUUUAUAGAGAUAGGCUCUCAUGAUGUUGCCCAGGCUGGUUUUGAACUCCUGAGCUCAGGCGAUCCUCCCUCCUCAUACCAGUUCUCAGGACAGGUUGCUGAGAACUCCUCAGGCUCUGAGGACACUGAGGUGGGAGGGAAACCGCGCUCUCCCUGCCCCUUGCCCCCCAGCGAAAACACUCUCAUGUCAGAACUCGGCUAUUACUAAACACAAACAGUGGUUCUCCGGACAACGCAGGUGUCUAGGUUUCUCCUUCUCUUCCAGAAAUCCUUUUAAAUUGUGCUAAGAAAUUACUGAGGUUGAAAGACACACACAAAGCCCAGGGAAAAAAGGAUGCAGGCCUCAGACCCUUGACCUUGAAGGGAGCAAUGGAAAUAGCCCCCCCCCAGAGGCGGGGGUCCAGAGGGGACUGGUGGAACUCGAACGUCCCCCACAACACACAGGGCCCUGGCUUGGGGCUGGGCCUCUCGGGCUCUGAAUUCUGGGGUGAGGCGGGGAUCGGGAGCCGUCUCUUCUCCUUGGAGGAGCUCGGGGGGUGGAUUUCCUUGCUUGGUUGGGGGUGGCCGCAAGGCCUGUGGUGAGAGCAUGGGGGGUGUCCAGGCCCCCUGGUGUCUGAUCCUGAGCCCCUGAGCCCUGUCUACCCCUGCAGGUCAUGCAGGCAGUACUCAGCCUCCUACCCACCCUCAACUUUCCAUCCAUGUCUAAACCCUGAAACAGAUAGUUCAGAGGCACAAAACUAAGGGGGCGGCCGAAAGCCAGGAUGCUCUACGCCAAACUAAGAAAAUAAUCACCAGCACAGCGUGUUUUCCAAUCCGCCAAGUUCUGCUGUGUCAUCUGUGAAAUAGGGCUGCUGUGGGACGUCAAGAUGGUUUCCUGGCCAGGUGAGGUGGGUGGCUCACACCUGUGAUCCCAGCACUUUGGGAGGCCGAGGUGGGACAAUCACCUGAGAUCAGGAGUUCGGGACCAGCCUGGCCAAUAUGGUGAACCCCAUCUCUACUAAAAAGACAAACAAUUAGCCGGGCGUGGUGGUGUGCGCUUGUAAUCCCAGCUACUCGGGAGGCUGAGGCAGGAGAAUUGCUUGAACUGGGGAGGUGGAGGUUGCAGUGAGUUGAGAUCGCGCCACUGAAGUCCAGCCUGGGCGACAGGGCAAGACUCCAUCUCAAAAAAAAAAAAAAAAAAAAAAAAAGGCUUCCUGAAGUUGUUGUGGCAGAGGAUCAGGGACAGCAGAGGGUGAGAUUCGCUGCGCUCCCCCCCACCCCAAUAAAAACACUCUCAUGUCACAGCUUGGCUCUCGUAUGACUAAACACAAACCGUGGUUCUCCAGACAACGCAGGCAUCUGUUUCUCCUUCUCUUCCAGAAAUCCUUUUAAAUUGUGCUAAGAAAUUACUGAGGUUGAAACACACACACGCAAAACCCAAGGACAAAAGGAUGCAUGCCUCAGACCCUUGACCUUGAAGGGAGCAAUGAAACUAGUCCCCAUAGAGGCAGGGGUCUGGAGAGGUCUGGUGGAACGCAAGUGUUGCCUGCCAUGCACAGGCGCCUCACUGGGCCUCUUGGGCUCUGAAUUCUGGGGUGAGGCAGGGAUGGAAGCCAUCCCUGGAGCAGAGGUGGAGAUGGGGGCUGUCAGGUUUCAUUAAGGUUCGUCCCACACAGGGGACUCUUCUAAACUUCUUGCUUCUCACGGUGAGUCUGACACUGGCGUCACCAGGGAGAAAUACAGGUUCUCAGGCCAGGCGCCGUGGCUCACGCCUGUACUCCCAGCACUUUGGGAGGCUGAGGAGGGCAGAUCACCUGAGGUCAGGAGUUUGAGGCCAGCCUGGCCAACAUGGUGAAACCCCGUCUCUACUAAAAAUACAAAAAUUAGCCAGGUGGCGUGGGCCUGUAAUCCCAGUUGCUCGGGUGGCUGAAGCAGAAUUGCUUGAGCCCAGAAGGUGGAGGUUGUAGUGAGCCGAGAUCGCGGCAGUGC